rnacentral:rRNA from 1 species
AUGAUGGAGAAGACAGGACAAUAUCAGACUUUGGAAGCUCACCUCCUAGCAGAGCCUCUGGGAAUUGGCCCAGGCCAGCGUUUCCGGAAACCAGCGGAUGGCCAUUUCCUUGCAAUAGCGGUUUGCCACAAGUAUUCUCCUCGGAACAUGCUUGCCCAGUGCUUGCUGACACAUGAUAUUUGGACCCACUCGUGGGUUGGUAACCGAGUCAAUAUUUCUACAAGGAGAUGUUCAGGGAGACUACCAAUUGGUCCAUCACCUCUGUCCAUCAUAAGGCUAUCAAACAGAAAACCAAAAGACUAA